ACCCUAGUGGCCUAAUGGAUAAGGCACUGGCCUCCCAAGCCAGAGAUUGUGGGUUUAAGUCUUGUCAGGGGUG
rnacentral:tRNA from 1 species